CCGGGGGACAUCGAGUCUUUGAACGCAAGUUGCGCCCGAUGCCAUUAGGUUGAGGGCACGUCUGCCUGAGUGUCACAUAUCGAAGCCUCCUUGACUAUUUUGCAGGGUGGAUGUUGGCCUCCCGUGAGCUCUUUUGUCUCAUGGUUGGUUGAAAAUUGAGACCUUGGUAGGGUGUGCCAUGAUAGAUGGUGGUUGUGUGACCCACGAGACCAAUCAUGCGCUUCUCUAUUGAAUUUGGCCUCUUUUACCCAUAUGCGUUUCUAAACGCUCGUGAUGAGACCUCAGGUCAGGCGGGACUACCCGCUGAAUUUAAGCAUAUCAAUAAGCGGAGGAAAAGAAACUAACAAGGAUUCCCUUAGUAACGGCGAGCGAACCGGGAUAAGCCCACCAUGAGAAUCGGUCGCCCUCGGCGUUCGAAUUGUAGUUGAAAAAAACCGUCAAAGAAGG
rnacentral:rRNA from 1 species